rnacentral:rRNA from 2 species
UUAAUUGAAGAGUUUGAUCAUGGCUCAGAUUGAACGCUGGCGGCAGGCCUAACACAUGCAAGUCGAGCGGUAACAGAGAGGUGCUUGCACCUUUGCUGACGAGCGGCGGACGGGUGAGUAAUGCUUGGGAACAUGCCUUGAGGUGGGGGACAACAGUUGGAAACGACUGCUAAUACCGCAUAAUGUCUACGGACCAAAGGGGGCUUCGGCUCUCG